rnacentral:rRNA from 1 species
GACGUAGGUGGCGAGCGUUGUCCGGAAUUAUUGGGCGUAAAGGGCGUGUAGGCGGCCUGCUAAGUCAGACGUGAAACCACGAGGCUUAACCUCGUGACUGCGUUUGAUACUGGUGGGCUUGAGGACAGGAGAGGGAAGCGGAACUCCGUGUGUAGCGGUGAAAUGCGUAGAUAUACGGAAGAACACCAGUGGCGAAGGCGGCUUCCUGGACUGUCCCUGACGCUGAGGCGCGAAAGCCAGGGGAGCGAACGGG